UGGCUCUCGCACCGAUGAAGAACGCAGCGAAAUGCGAUAAGUAAUGUGAAUUGCAGAAUUCAGUGAAUCAUCGAAUCUUUGAACGCACCUUGCACCUUUUGGUAUUCCGAAAGGUACGCCCGUUUGAGUAUCAUUGUAAUCUCACCUCCACGGCUCUUGUUGUGUGGGGUGGACUUGGGCGCUGUCGUGUCAUGACGACUGGCCUGAAAUGCAUGAGUGUACCCUGCUGUUGCGGCGUCAUCAGUGUGAUAAGCAUCUUCACUGAUCCAAGUUCCUUCCAGGACGCGUCGCCACGUGGGCCCUGCGCUUCCAACCGUCUCCUCGGGAGACAGCGUUUUGACAAUUUGAUCUCAAAUCGGGUGGGACUACCCGCUGA
rnacentral:misc_RNA from 1 species